rnacentral:tRNA from 1 species
GAAGGUAUAGCUCAGUGGUAGAGUGUGUACUUGCAUACACAAGGUCUUGGGUUCAAUCCCCAGUACCUCCA